UACGAAGGGUGCAAGCGUUACUCGGAAUUACUGGGCGUAAAGCGUGCGUAGGUGGUUUGUUAAGUCUGUUGUGAAAGCCCCGGGCUCAACCUGGGAAUGGCAAUGGAUACUGGCAGGCUAGAGUGCGGUAGAGGGUAGUGGAAUUCCCGGUGUAGCGGUGAAAUGGCGUAGAGAUCGGAAAGAACACCAACGGCGAAAGCACUCUGCUGGGCCGAACACUGACACUGGAGAG
rnacentral:rRNA from 1 species